rnacentral:rRNA from 1 species
AGAGGGUGCGAGCGUUAAUCGGAAUUACUGGGCGUAAAGGGUGCGUAGGUGGUUUAGUAAGUUAGGUGUGAAAACCCAGGGCUUAACCUUGGGCUUGCGCUUAAAACUGUGAGACUAGAGUACUGUAGAGGGAAGUGGAAUUUUCGGUGUAGCGGUGAAAUGCGUAGAUAUCGGAAGGAACACCAGUGGCGAAGGCGACUUUCUGGACAGAUACUGACACUGAGGCACGAGAGCGUGGGUAGCAAACAGGAUUAGAUACCCUGGUAGUCCACGCCGUAAACGAUGAGAACUAGCUGUGGGUUGCAUUAUGCAAUUAGUAGCGAAGCAAACGCGUUAAGUUCUCCGCCUGGGGGGGUUACGGCCGCAAGGCUA